UGGCUUAUAGCUCAACGGAUAGAGCACAUGGCUACGGACCAUGGUUUGUUGUGAGUUCGAAUCUCACUAAGCCAGCCA
rnacentral:tRNA from 1 species